GUGAACAUUUAUUCACUGGACAGGAGAAGAAACCCCUUUCAAACAAUUUUAUUGAUUUAUUCCUCCAAGUCAUCUCAAUUUCCCUCAGAGAUGUCAAAAUUAAGUACUUGCUGGGAUUGGUGCUAUCGAUUUAUCAGGUACAGGAAACAUAAUAGACAAAAAAGUCGGUCAAACAGGUGCGUUUCAGCACUGAAACAUGGUCAUUGUGGUUACAGAAAAAAAAUCGAAUUUCUGAAAUUAUCCUGCUUCUAAUUAUCCCGCAAAAUAAAUCAAUUUGCAAAAUGC